CCUAAAUGUGAGGGUGGUAUGGGAUUUUGGGACCUCAAAUUAUUUAACCAGGCUCUCCUAGCUAAGCAAGCUUGUAGGUUAGUGGUUAAUCCUGAAUCUCUAUGCGCCAAAGUGAUUAAGGCAAAAUAUUAUCCACAGGGACAUAUCCUUGAUACAGUUUUCCCGCAGUCAGCUUCUCUUACUUGGCAAGGUAUUUUGCAUGGUUUGGAUCUGCUUAAAUCUGGAGUCAUUUGGAGAGUGUGUGAUGGGGCUAAUAUUAAUAUCUGGAGAGAUAACUGGCUCCCAAGAUCUUCUGGACUAAAAAUUACUGCCAGAAAUAAUAGGACAAGAGUCAAAUGGGUAUCAGACUUGAUGCUGAGCGGUCCUAGGAGGUGGGAUGGAAAUUUGGUUAGGCAUAUGUUUUAUCCAUAUGAUGCGGAGGAGAUUUUGAGGUUGCGUAUGCAGUCAAAUGGGCAAGGUGAUUUUGUUGCUUGGCAUUUUGAAAAAACAGGUAUGUUCUCGGUUAAAAGUGCGUACAAGCUUGCACUUACCUUGAAGGAUAAAAAUGAGGAUGAGGGUCAAUGUAGUGAGGCUGUGUUGGGGGAGAGGAAAAUCUGGGAUGUCAUCUGGAAGGCUAAUGUCUCUCGGAAGAUUCGCAUUUUUGCAUGGAGGGUCGCAACCAAUAGUUUGGCUGUCCAGGUUAAUAGAGUGGUGCAUCACCAAACUACUAUUAGGAUGUGCACUAUUUGUGGAAUGGAGGAUGAAAGUACAUUUCAUGCGCUUGUCAUGUGCCCGAAGGCGGUUGCAUUGUGGAUGGCCAUGAGGGAUAUUUGGGAGUUAUCUACGGAGAACGUCUUCAGAUAUACAGGGUAUGAUUGGUUUAGUGUUCUUCUAACUCAACUGAGGCAUGUCAUGCGCGACCAAAUUAUUUUCAUCUCCUGGAGAGUCAGGGCACUUAAGAAAUGA
rnacentral:rRNA from 1 species